GAUAACAGCAUAGUCCUACUCUAGAGUUCAUAUCGACAGUGGGGUUUAGAAUCUUGAUGUUGGGUCAGGACAUCCCAAUGGUAUAACCAAUAUUAAAUAUUCAUUUAUUCAAUAGUUAAGGUUUUAUGUAAUAUGAGUUUACACCAGAGUAAUCCAAGUC
rnacentral:ncRNA from 1 species